rnacentral:misc_RNA from 1 species
UACGUAGGUGGCAAGCGUUGUCCGGAAUUAUUGGGCGUAAAGCGCGCGCAGGCGGCCUCUUAAGUCUGAUGUGAAAGCCCCCAGCUCAACCGGAGAGGGGCAUUGGAAACUGGGAGGCUUGAGUAUAUGAGAGAAGAGUAGAAUUCCACGUGUAGCGGUGUAAUGCGUAGAGAUGUGGAGGAACACCAGUGGCGAAGGCGACUCUUUGGUCUAUAACUGACGCUGAGGCGCGAAAGCGUGGGUAGCAAACAGG